AUUUAGCUAACUUGGGUGAGUGAUAAAAGCGGCAUCCUUUUGCGGGUUGCAAAAGAUAUAGCGGAUAGCACGACCGUGU
rnacentral:sRNA from 1 species